rnacentral:lncRNA from 10 species
CAUACAGGUGUGAGCCACUGCACCCAGCCAGGCAGCUUUUUAUUAGACUUUCACUAGGUCCUUGUAGGUGGAACCUUAGUGGUCACAGUGGGCCAGGAGGGUUUGGCUAGUUUUGGCCUUUGUAGCCAUCUUUGAAUUACACUAUUAGUAGAUCAGUCUGGUCUCUAAAAGGAAAAAGACCACAGUCAUUAUUGGAGUUUGACUAUUCCGUUUAAAAUGUAGCUUUUAAGUGAGGUACAUCAUAAAGGAUCUACUGGCUGGGCACGGUGGCUCACGCCUGUAAGCCCAGCACUUUGGGAGGCCGAGACGGGCAGAUCACUUGAGGCCAGGAGUUUGAGACCAGCCUGGGCAACAUGGUGAAACCCCAUCUCUACUAAAAAUACAAAAAUUAGCUGGGCAUGGUGGUACGUGCCUGUAAUCCCAGCUACUCAGGAGGCUGAGGCAGGACAAUCACUUGAACCCGGGAGGCGGAGGUUUCAGUGAGCCAAGAUCACUCCAUUGCAUUCCAGCCUGAGUGACAGAGCAAGACUCUGUUUAAAAAAGACAACGAAAACCGAAAAACAAAGAACAGGUGGAGUCUACUGACUUGCAUGAGUCAGGUAAUUCAUUGACCGGGGCUGGUCAAAAAGAUGGGUUGAUCCUUACUGUGGAAGCUCUCAGCUGCCCUGCAAUACUUUGGAAAUAAACCAGGCAAAACACUGCUCAGUGUGCUGCACUCCAGACACAAACAGGAAGCUGCUCUUUCUCUGCUUCCCUCCCCCACAAUCAGACUCUUGUAACUCUCUUUUCUUCUUUUUCUAAAAUGAAUCUGGGAGUUUCCUUUAGCCCCUGUUUUGUGGUCGCCUCCCAUACACGUUUUAUCUGUCCGUGGCAUUUUCUUUUAUUUAUUGAAAGCACCGUGUCUUAGAUCAAGUCUUGAGAAACAGAACCUGAGACAAACAUGAAUGUGGUUAAUUGAACGAGCGCUGUGCAGGAAAAGCUGUACUGGAGAGAGGCCUGGCCUGGUGUUCAGAACACAAAUGUGAAAAAUCAGACCGGGAAGAUCACGGGAGGCAGGAAGCAUCUGGUUUGCAGGAGUCUCACUCUGUCACCCAGGCUGGAGUGCAGUGGCGUGAUCUCAGCUGACUGCAAUCUCCACCCAAGUUCAAGAGAUUCUUCUGCCUCAGCCUCCCACGUAGCUGGGACUACAGGUAUGUGUCACCACUCCUGGCUAACUUUUUUAUUUUUAGUGGAGAAUGGGUUUCACCAUGUUGGCCAGGCUGGCCUUGAAAUCCUGACCUCAAGUGAUCCACCCACCUCGACCUCCCAAAGUGCUGGGAUUAUAGGAAUGAGCCACCACGCCUGGCCACCCUUGGCUAUGUUAUUAAAGACAUGCAAGGGAAACAUUAACUUCCAUAUUAAAAUAUUCUCUUUCUUUUUUUAUCCUGUACAGAGCAUACCAUAGCAGCUUGUGCCUGAGACCUCGACAAAUAUCUGGGGGAUAGAUUGGCUUGCAGAGCACAUUCUGCCUAUAGAAAUGAGUUAGCAAGUUUAGUCAGCCAUUGUAGAUUUCAAAGGGUGAGAAGCCUAGCCAGAGGUUAUAAUAUAGCAUGAUAUCCUCCUGGAAAUGGAAUUCUUCACUUGCGAUGCAUUUUAGGAGCCGCUGCUCUGUGUGAGCCACUCUGCUAGGUCCCAGCAUGCAUGAUAUUAUUCUACACAAAGAAUAAUAUCAGAGCUCACAGCCUAUGCAGGAAGUAAGCAAUUAGUUACAGCGUGAUGUGUACUGCAACCCAGGUAAGUACACAGUGUCAUGGAUGCUUCCAGGAGGAAGUCAUAGUCUGACCAGGAAGUUUGGGAAUACUUCUCAUAGGAAGCAACAAGCUACCUGGAAAGAUCUAGAAAGAUGAACAGUACCAGUGUAUUGAUUAGAAAUGCGUUCAGCAGCAAGUCAUAGAACACAUGACUAGUAAGGUUUAAACAAAUAGAAGGUUAUUUUCUCAUAUAAUAAGCCCAGAGGUAGGCACUAAAGGUGGUACAUUGGCUCAGUGGUGUUGGGACUAAGGUUUCUAAAAUUCUCUUGUCCUCUAAGACAUGGCUGCAGGUUGGCUGCAGCAGCUCCAGGCAUCGUGUCCACACUGAAAGGAGAAAGGGGGAGGCCAGCUAUGAUUUCCCCUUUUAUCAGGAAAGCAGAAACCUUCCUGUGGAUUUCUGCUUAUAUCCCACUAGCCAGAACUGGGUCAUGUGGCUAUCCUUAGCAGCAAGGGAGCCAGGAAAGAGAGGAUUUCACUUCUCCAGCUUCUUCUGUAUAUGGGAGGGCAGGUAGGUGAAGGGGGCUAGACUGAAUCCUGUGUGAGCCAACUAGCAGGCAGAACAUUUUGCAUAGAACUGCAUUUGCAAAAACAUGGAGCUGUGAAAGUGUGUGGAACAUUUACAGGCUAUUUAUUUAUUUAUUUAUUUAGAGACAGAUUCUUGCUUUGUCGCCCAGGCUAGAGUGCAGUGACACGAUCUUGGCUCACUGCAACCUCUGCUUCCUGGGUUCAAGCAAUUCUCCUGCCUCAGCAUCCCCAGUAGCUGGGAUUACAGGUGCCUGCCACCAUGCCUGGCUAAUUUUUGUAUUUUUAGUAGAGACGGGGUUUCACCAUGUUGGCCAGGCUGAUCUUGAACUCCUGACCUCAAGUGAUCCACCCGCCUCAGCCUCCCAAAGUGCUGGGAUUACAGGCGUGAGCCACCGCCCCCAGCCUACAAUCAAAAAAUUUAAUAUCAUCAAAUUACAGGGCAUGUGGCAGAGAAGUGUGGGCAGACAAGACACAGAGAAGUGGAGAUGAGACUCUUCAGACCCUUGAAUGACAUGUUGAAGAGCUUGGAAUUUUCUUAUAGAACGUAGGUAAUCAAUAGAGAGGUUUCAUCCGAGGAAUGAUAAAAAUCCAUUUGGGAAACAGAGGCGGUGUGGAGGAUGGGUCAAGAGAGAAUCAGAAGGCAGAUGAUUUACAGCAAUCCAGGCCAGAUAUCAGGAGGGCCUACUCUAAGAUUGCUUUUAGCAUAGCUACUGGGGAAGAGUCGGGCAGGAGAGCCCAGAGGCCCCGCAUGUGAUGGAAACAGCUGCCCAAACUGCAUCUUCAGGUAAAUAUGGCAGACCAUAGUUCCCCCUUCAUAAAGGCCUCUUGGGCGUGUUUCCUGGAAGGAAGAGGUGGGAGAUGUCGCCAUGCUCAGCACAUACGUGAGGUGUUGCAUUAGUCUCCUGGGGCUGCCGUAACAAAGUACCACAAAGCAGAUGGAAACAACAUGCAUUUUUCCCCCCACAGUUCUGGAAGGUGGAAGGCCAGGAUCAGGUGUCAGGAGGGUUGGUUUUUUCUGGGGGUUCUGAGAGAAUCUGAGGGGAAUUCCAUGGCUUUCUCCCAGCUUCUGGUAGUUGCUGGCAAUCCCUGGUGUUCCUGGGCCUGUAGACACGUCACCCCCAUCUCCGCCUCUGUUUUCAUGUGGCAUCCUCCCCGGUGCGUGUCUGUGUGCCCCAACCCCCUUGUCUUAUGAGGCCCACUCUAAUCCAACAGGACCUCGUCUUUACAUAAUCAGAUCUGCUAAGAUCCUGUUUCCAAAUAAGGCCAUGUUCACAGAUACCUAGGGUUAGGACUUGGACAUAUCUUUUGGGGGGACCCGAUUCAACUCACAACAGGUGUUUGAGGGCAGCUCUAGUUGAGAGUGUCAGAGAACCUCUGGCUUAAAGGAGGAACAGGGAGUCUAUCUGCUUGCAAUGUCUGAAGUAGAGUGGAGUGGCUUUACUGUCCUUGGUAGAGAGCAUGUCCUGCUUCAUUCUCAGGAAGGAUCUCACUGUGAGGUGGCUACGAUUACUCUCUGCCCACCCUGGUUGCAUCUGGCUUACAGAAGACAAUCCCAGAAGAAACAGUCUCCCCCAAAGUCCGCAGCAACCCUUCCACUAGGAGUCUACUCCUGCUUACACAAGGCCCAUGCUCACGCCUCACCCCACUGCUGUGUCCAGGGCUUCGUGGUAUCCUGAUGGGCUAGCGUGGGUCACACUCCCACCCUUUGAGCCAUGGGCCCACCUAGUCCAAAUCAUAACAACUGAACAGGAUGAUCACAGGUUGUGGAGAUGAAUCUGCCAAAGUGAUGCUAGGCAGUGCGCUUUCUUUUUUAUUUUUAAAAUAUUUUUUGCAUGUAUGUAUGUAUGUGAGACAGUCUCGCUCUGUCGUCCAGGCUGGAGUGCAGUGGCAAGAUCUCGGCUCACUGCAACCUCUGCCUCCUGGGUUCAAGCAGUUCUCCUGCCUCAGUCCCCCGAGCUGUGAUUACAGGCAUGUGCCACCACACCCGGGUAAUUUUUGUAUUUUUGUUAGAGAUGAGAAUUCACCAUGUUGGCCAUGCUGGUCUCCUGACUUCAAGUGAUCCGCCUGCCUCAGCCUCCCAAAGUGCUGGGAUUACAGGCGUGAGCCACCAUGUGCAGCCAGUAGUGCUCUUUCUUUACCUCUGCCCAAAUGAGGACAAGGAGAUGAAGCGUGGCUGAAAGCAUCAGCCUCUUCCCAGCUGUCCUGAUUGCAUGGGCCGCUUGUCCACUGGACAGGUACUUUUCCUGCCGGGCCUGCUCGUGUGGUUUGGACAGAUGCCCAACUGUCAGGCUCACUCUGUUCUGUUCAGGGAGCUGGCAUUUGCUCCAGUUUCCUCACCUGCCCACAGGGCAGGUGUGUGUCUGUGCGCCCCAACCCCCUUGUCUUAUGAGGCCCACUCUAAUCCAAAAGGACCUCAUCUUUACAUAAUCAGAUCUGCUACGAUACUAUUUCCAAAUAAGGCCAUGUUCACAGAUAUAUGAAUGGUAAGAGCCAGUGGGCCAGGUUGCCCAUGUGAGGGAGCCGGUCUCCGCACCUUGAAUUUCUCUACUGUUCUGGCCUCCGGGGCCAUGACAUUGAGGAUGGCUGGCCACUGGGCAUUGCUCCUUGCACCAUUUUCUCUGGGACUCCCUGAUACAUGUGAGGUUCUUCUUUCUCAGGCCUCUUUGAGGUGCAGGGACCCCCCCGCCCCCAUUGCCUAGUACUCCAAACUGGCCUAGGUCUACCUCUCCCAGCCCAAAUGUCCUGAGGUCCGUGACUGGAUUAUGACUUCAUAAACACCCUUCCCCCACCCUCACCACCACCACUUCCAGCAUCUGAGCUGGAAGACUGCCCGUGUCCUUCCAAUCCACUUCCCUUCCCUGUUGUUCAUCCUCACAUUUCUCUAACCACAGGCCAGCAGAGCUAGAAAAAACCCUAGGACAACUAGUCCAGCAACGGCGAAACAUUCAUUUUAACCUUAGUUCACAUGGUGCAGCCGCUACAGAAAACGGUAUGCGAGUUCCUCAAAAAAUGAAACAUAUGAUCCAGCAGUUUCACUUCUGGGUUUCUGGGUAUAUUCCCAAAAAAACUGAAAGCAGAAACUUAAAUAGCUGUUUGUACACCCACGCUUAUAGCAGCAUUAGUCACAAUAGCCAAAAGGUAGAAGAAGCCCAAGUGUAUAUCAACAGAUGCAUGGAGAAACAAAUGUGUAUACAUACAAUGGGUUAUUAUUCAGCUAUAAAAAAGGAAUGAGGCCAGGAUCAGUGGCUCACACCUGUUAUCCCAGCAUUUUGGGAGGCCAAGGUGGGCGGAUAACCUGAGGUCAGGAGUUCAAUACCGGCCUGGCCAACUUGGUGAAACCCCCGUCUCUACAAAAAUGCAAAAAUUAGCCGGGCAUGAUGGCAGGUACCUGUAAUUCCAGCUACUUGGGAGGCUGAGGCAGAAGAAUUGCUUGAACCACGGAGGCGGAGGUUGCAGUGAGCUGAGAUCGCACCAUUGCACUCCAGCCUGGUUGACAGAGCGAGACUCUGUCUCAAAAAAAAAAAAAAAAGGAAUGAAAUUCAGAUACAUGCUACAACAUGGAUCAACCUUGAAGACAUCAUACUAAGUAAAAUAAGCCAGUCACAAAAGGAUAAGCAGUAUAUGAUUCCACUUAUAUGAGGUACCUAAAGUAGUCUAAUUCAAAGACAGAAAGUAUAAUAGUGAUUACCACGGGUUGGAGGGAAGGAGAAGGGGAGUUAUUGUUUAAUCAUAUAGAGUUUGGGAAGAUGAAAAAGUCCUGGAGAUGGACAGUGGUGAUGGUUGUACAAUAAUGUGGAUGUACUUAAUGCCACUGAACGGCACACUUAAAAUGGUUAACAUGGUAAAUUUUAUGUUAUGCAUAUUUUACAACAAUAAAC